rnacentral:lncRNA from 1 species
GGCUAGAACUAUGCGGGGUGGUUGCCUGGUUGGCUGGAGGUUGGUAAUGCGUGUUAUGGAGACAUCAAGGAUGCUUGUAGGUAUGCUGAGCARAAGGGGUCUGUGGUCAYUCAAGUAACCAAGUUUGCAGGUAUAGCAAGGAUUGCAAAUAGAUGCAAGACCGGAGGGCAGAAUGAUGUCGUCGAUCCUGCCAAAGGAGUA